ACGUAGAGCAGUUGGCAGCGCUUAAGUCUUAUAAUCCUAAGGUUGUGAGUUCGAUCCUCACCCAGGGCA